AAAUCUGGAUCAUAAUCUAAUACAGAACAUAUCCCCGGAUGCGCUUGAAAAUUUACACAACCUCGUUGAUUUGACUCUAAUGGGGAACAAAAUAACUGAGUUACCAUCGGAUCUCUUUGAACCAACUCCAAACCUUUCAAUACUAGCCAUAGGGUACAACCGAGGUAUUAAGUACUUACCUUCCACGACGUUCGAGCCAAUUAAAGCCAG